CCAGCCUGGAGAUAGGCUAUUACUCAGUCACGGACACCAUGGAAACGCAGGCGCAGAUGUAAGAAAUGAGGGAAAAGUGCUGCGUCACCGAGUGUAUCACAUCCUGGACUGCUGAAGCGGAUUUGUCAAAGUCGGCCGCUGCUGCUUCAAGACCUGCCCCAGAAUGGCUUUGUACAGAGCUGUGACAUCAAUAAAAUCAACCAGACCAGUAACAUACCAAUUUCAAAUACAGGUAUCAGAGAAAUCAUAAGCCCUGAAAUGAGACUUCAAUCCAAUUGCUCAUCAGAAACAUUCAGUUUAAAGUCAAGAAAUCAGAAGAACACACAGUGCAUCUUCCAAAAUGAUUAAGAUCUUUUUAUAAAGUACUUCAGGUAGCUGCACAUUUUUGUGAAUUAUAGUGAAGCUUGAAUAUUUUUG